CAAAUAGUACCUCAGUGAUCAGAGUGUUGGGUCAGCUCUAGGCUACUAGUACUCUGUCACAAACCGGUAUGCAGUUAGUGAAUCUUCUGAGCACAGAGAAGAGCCUUCUGUCACUUGGAUGAGAUGUACUUGGACAACAAUCUGCAAGAAAUGUUGUGAAGAUAACCCUUUGCUCAACCCAGAGGCCAAUAUGGUGCCUUGCUGACUGCCUCCAGCUUGGGUAGUGGAAGGAAGGUUGCAGGAACUCUUCAGGUGGACUUUCCAUUUCAAGGACUAUAUGAACAUCAUUGCUGACUUCCACUGGUGUAGAUCCCAGUGAAGUUAGCCAUAGACCUUUUCCAUAGUAAAGAUUCCAGUGGACUCUGUUGGAAUACUUGGUUGUCUGCACUCAUCUCUGUUGGUUUCUACUGGAGGAUCAAAAGCUCUAGGAACAAACAAACUAAUAGCUCUGAUCCAAAAUCUAACUGGAGCUGGCAGUUUCCAACUGGAAUUUCCACAUGGGUUGCCCUCCAUAAUUACAAUUAUUUCUUAAGUAUUUACCUUAUGAGGAAAAAGUAAACUUUUGUUUAUUUAAUUCUUUAA